AUUGAACGCUGGCGGCAGGCCUAACACAUGCAAGUCGAGCGGAUGAAGGGAGCUUGCUCCUGGAUUCAGCGGCGGACGGGCGAGUAAUGCCUAGGAAUCUGCCUGGUAGUGGGGGAUAACGUCAGGAAACGGGAGCUAAUACCGCAUACGUCCUGAGGGAGAAAGUGGGGGAUCUUAGGACAUCAAGCUACUAGAUGAGCCUAGGUGGGAUUAGCUAGUUGGUAGGGUAAAGGCCUACCAAGGCAACGAUCCGUAACAGGUCUGAGAGGAUGAUCAGUCACACUGGAACUGAGACACGGUCCAGACUCCUACGGGAGGCAGCAGUGGGGAAUAUUGGGCAAUGGGCGAAAGCCUGAUCCAGCCAUGCCGCGUGUGUGAAGAAGGUCUUCGGAUUGUAAAGCACUUUAAGUUGGGAGGAAGAGCAGUAAGUUAAUACCUUGCUGUUUUGACGUUACCAACAGAAUAAGCACCGGCUAACUUCGUG
rnacentral:rRNA from 1 species